rnacentral:lncRNA from 1 species
AGUCCUCAGGGUCCCUAACGUACUGGACAGAGCUAGGAAAGCAAACCCAUUUGCUUCUUCCUGCAGGAAACCCCUUGAGGUUAAGACCCCACAAUCACAUGAGGAUGGAGUGGCUCACCCUCAGUCAACAGGCCAGACUCAAGGGGUUCCUGGCAAGUCAUUUCUCCCUCAGGCCUUCGGUUUCCUCACCUACAAGAUGAGAGGGCUGGACCAGAUGGAAAUUCAGGGGGUAAGGGGAUGUCCUCACGCAGCCCACCCCCACCCCCACGGGACCCUGGAGCCUCCAUCCCAGUUCCCACCACGCACCCGCUCCACAAAUCCUGCCCAAGGGUCUCUCAUCCAAUGACCUCAACUGCUGGAAGAAGCCACAAGAGGGAAUGCCUUUCAUCUGUGAUCUCACAUACCAGCCUGUCCUUUCCAUUGAGAGGAAAGCUGAGCUCCACUGAAGCAACAGAGGCCCAAGGAGAAACCUUAACUGUGUGCCUUUGGGGGAAAGCGUGGCCCCAGGAAGGGCUUCCGUGCUGGCCACUGCAGUGGGGUUGACAGAGCUGGUAAGCCACAAGGGGGCCCCACCCAAAGACAAGGGGGACAUUUAUUCCUGGGAACAACAAAACCUGAUGAGGCCGAGUACAUGACAAUGAAGACUGUAGAGCUUUUCCGUUCUCUAUAAAAAGGCAAGGGGUUUCUAGACAGGGAAGAAAAAGAAUUUACAGAGCAGUCUUUGUGUACUAACAUACAGCCUGCAUCUCUUUUCUUUAAAAUUUCUUGGAAGAGAAUGAGUCAUCUCAACAUUGCAGGAAACCAAAUAGAAGUUGGGGGAAAAAAUUACUUUGGACAAAGUUUUUCUCUUAAAUGUUUGCAUAGUAAUCUUUGCCUGGAAAAAAAAAAGAUGCCUAAAUUUAGAAUAGAGAUGUGGUACAGUUAACAAUGCUGGUUCUAUCGGAUGGGAAGUGUGAUGGUGUGCUCAGGCUGGGAUCUCUUAUUUUGAAACUCACCACAACCAUUUGGCCAGAGUGCUUCACUGGCCUCCACUCUGACUGCUGCCGAGGGGCUGAUCAGAAGACAAUGAGAUUGCAACAGCUUCUACCAGUUGUAUGCUGACAAAAUGGGUAGGAAAGCUUCCUUUUUCCAACAGAUAACAGCAUUGGAAACAGAACUGAAAUGCACUGUGUCAUCUCAUCUCCCCAAGACAAGACUGUAAUGUUCCAAAGCCUCCUUGCUCACAGAAAGGAUGUAACAGCAGAUAUGUACGGAAACAUAAGGAUCCUAGGCAUCCGGGAUGCCUGGCCACUGGGCUGGUCACUCUUCCUUAGACCUCUUUAAAUCAGUACAUUUCCUGAGCUUGGAUGGGUUUGUCUAUUAGCGUUUCCCAAAGAACACCAAUUAUGAAAGAGGUUUCAGACCUGUUCUCAAUAGGGAGGUUACUUGUUACCGAUUCUCUAGUUAUUUAGAUCAGCACUCAUGUGCUUUCCAAGUUGGGGGUGGGACUGUUGUUAAUUGGUUAUCUACAUUUCAAAGCUGUAUUUUUUGACAGGCACAAAAGUACCCCCUAUUUGUAAGAAAGAAGAAUAAAAAGAGGAAGGCAUGUCUCUGCCAUGUGGCGAGAGCUCAUUUCAGCCCCAUCCCAAGGCUGAGCCUGUCAGCAGGUAGGAACAGUAGGGCCAUUUAGUUCUCUGCCAUUUAGCCUGUGUCAGCAGUUUUCCAAAAAAGAAUCCAGUUUUCAAGGGCACAUAUCUCCCCAACAACCACUACUAUCCCCUCCCCACCCUAAAGAUUGUUCAGAGACCAACUGUUAAAAAAAAAAUCCAGUUUAAAACUGAAUUUAUGUUACAGAUUUCAGAGGAAAGGAACAUGACCCUGUAUUAAGCUCUGGCAGCAGAAGCACCACCAUACAUAAGGUGGUGGUUUCAGGGGCAUUCACUAACCACUUCAAAGAGGCCACAUUUCAGGAGCUGGCACUUUGCCUGAAAUGCUUUUGGUGGGGAGGAGAGGGCUAAAAGGAAUGACUGUUUGGUAGCAGGGCCAGUGCUAGGUGAUGGUGGGCACUGUGUCUGGUCCUCUCUCUCAGCUAACUUGGGCCACCAAAAUAGGUGGUACAGUGUGAGGCUGUAUGCCGAGGCUCUGGGGGUUCAGGGGGUGAUGAUCCAGCAGGUCAGAGCUCAGAAAUGACUUCUAGAUUUCCCCUCCACCAUACUACCUGCAUAUAUGCAAGCAGGGCUCUUUCUAUUCAGCAUUCAUUCAUCGGUGAGGAUACCAUGAGACGGCUCUGAGAAAGACUGAACUCCAGUUAGGACCUUAAACUAUGAGAAGCCCAAGGAUGUAUAAAACACAAAUAUACUUAAUUGCAAAACUUUUAUAGAGAGGUAGGCUAGGAGAUACCACAACAGGGACACCAGAGGUGCUUUUGCCUUCUGAAGAUAGGUAGACUAGGAUGUUCAAAAAAUACAUUUUUUAUUGCAAUACAGCAUAAUAGGUGUCUAUAAUAAAAGUACUUAUGUGUCCGG